GAGCGGAUGAAGGGAGCUUGCUCCUGGAUUCAGCGGCGGACGGGUGAGUAAUGCCUAGGAAUCUGCCUGGUAGUGGGGGAUAACGUCCGGAAACGGGCGCUAAUACCGCAUACGUCCUGAGGGAGAAAGUGGGGGAUCUUCGGACCUCACGCUAUCAGAUGAGCCUAGGUCGGAUUAGCUAGUUGGUGGGGUAAAGGCCUACCAAGGCGACGAUCCGUAACUGGUCUGAGAGGAUGAUCAGUCACACUGGAACUGAGACACGGUCCAGACUCCUACGGGAGGCAGCAGUGGGGAAUAUUGGACAAUGGGCGAAAGCCUGAUCCAGCCAUGCCGCGUGUGUGAAGAAGGUCUUCGGAUUGUAAAGCACUUUAAGUUGGGAGGAAGGGCAGUAAGUU
rnacentral:rRNA from 1 species